UUCAGUGGCAACUGUGAACAUUUUGUUUAUUCGUACUGUUCCAACAUGGGCAGGUCUGGGCAAACCUACUCCCAAAGUCCAAGGAAGCUGAAAGACCAAAGAAAGAGGCUGACAAAUCCAGUCUCUCAGGAACAUUUAAUAGGGACUUACAAACAGAAACCAUGACUGUGUCUCAGGAAGCGGCAAGUUUCACUCCAUCAGUGUUUUGGACAUUGAAGUUAGCAAAUGGGAAAUUGAGACAGCAAAUUUAGGAAAGAAAAUGGCCAGCAAAUGAUAACCAGACACUUGAAAUGUCCUCUAAUCGACAGAGAGAAAACCAAACUAGUAUAAAUAAGGGACCCGGGUUAUGCAGAAAUGACUCCAGGAGCAAAGGAAAGAUCUACAUCUUUAUCUGGAUCUGUAUCAGUGUCUUUAGUAGAAUGAAAGGAGAUAUUUCACCUGCCUGGACCGCGAAUUGCAAAAGGAACAACAUUCCACACAAAAGAAUUGUCCAAGAACAAGGAAAGAACUUUUAGAAAUUAAAGUAUUUGAAGUCCUUG